rnacentral:lncRNA from 1 species
CCAUGUUCUCGGUCACCCAGCAGGUCCCAUAGUGCCCAGUCUCUGCCCUCAGCUGGGACUGUGCCAGUUAGCAAUGGCUUCAUCCUGGGUCAGGUGAGAGGGGGAAGGUGGAAUUGAUUGUUAGGGGACCUGUUUAUUCCCUGGAUCCUCUCCUUCAGGGAGGAUUCCUGGAAGCCUGGCACUUCUGAGGCCCUGCCUGUGGGGUGCAGGGCCUGAUAUGGUAGUUGAAGGCAUUGUCUUCAGUGCAGGCCAAGGAGCAGGGAAGAAUGUGUGCCUGGAUCCCUGCCAGUGAGCAUGGUAAUGCAGAGGGCUCUGUUCCUGACUUUGGCCUGGAACCUUGCGAGCUGGUGUCCACAGAGGCAUGAGUGGCUGUACCUGAAUGUGCUUGUACAGCACGUAGCUUUCAGCACGUGAUCACAUACUGUGUAUAUAAGUGUGCAUGGGGCACAUAGUUGCUGCAGCCUGUGCCAUGUAUCCUUUCUUCUGGGUGUAGGGUUGCUGUGGCCUGGCAAGUGACAUCUGGAUUUCAGUGAAGCACCCAGACUCAGCCCGUAAACAAGCUGUAACUUUGGUAGGGAUAUCUGGGUGUUGGAUGUGAUGUUCUAAAAAAAAAUGCUUUUAUUAUUGAGAAUCAGCUUUUCUCUGAGCAGUCUCACCUUUACUGGGUGUACCCCUAGCUGAGGACUGUUCCUGCCCCUUCCAGUAUGGAGGAUCCACCACUGCCAUCUGUGACCUUCAGGGUUCCUGGACAUCAUGCCAAGGCUGGUAACCACAGGGACCUUUGCACUUGUGAGUGAGGCUGAGCAGCUGGGAGUGCACAUGCACAUGUUUGGAAGUGUGUAAGUGUGAACAUUUGAGUGUGUGGGGGUGUGUGGCACAGGUGUAAUGGCGGGGUGAGGCAUAACUGAGCAUGCGUUUCCCCCCCACUUGUUGUACUAGACAUGGAAUCCAGGAAAGUUCUGCCUCUGGACUAUAUCCCCAGCCCAUUUUUAAUUUUUGUUUUGAGAUAAGGUCUCCCCAAGUUGCCAGGGCUGGCCUCUCACUUAGGCCUCCCAAGUGGCUGGGAUUACAGGCAUGUGCCACAGUUCCUGUCAUGACCAAGCAUGUUGGUCAAUAAAGUGCAUGGGGAGGUGCUGGCUUUCCUGGUAACCUUGUCGACCUGCCCCCUUGGUCAAGGUAGUCUGCCUCUGCAGGGCUCACCACAUCCCCCUCCCGUUCCCCCAACACCACGUCUAAGUGACUGCAAUUAUGCUCUUCCACAAAAAACAGAAGUGGAGUUUAAUACUGUAGACCACUUCAAGUGGAAGGUCACUGCUUUGUUAAGUAAAUGAUGCCACGCAAUUCAGAUGUUCUUCUCCUACUUGUAUAGGAACAGCACAGAGGGAACUUCUGCACCCCAGGAGGGGGCUUCCAGUGCUGAGGUUUAAGAAAAGCCAGAACACUGUAAAGACCCCUCUUCUCUGCCCACACCCCCUGCCACCCCAUACCCUGCUCCCUCAAAUCUCAAGCUUUCACAGCUGAUAAGGAGAUUUUUAGAAUAUGCUAGAGGUCAGUCCUGUUUGUCCCAGCCCCAGGGGGGGACAGAAAGAGGUUGUGUGUUGGCCUGCGUGUACUGUGAGAUGUGUGUGCCAUCAGUUGUAAGUGUAAACCCCUG